UCGAACGGCAGCACGGACUUCGGUCUGGUGGCGAGUGGCGAACGGGUGAGUAAUAUAUCGGAACAUACCCAGUAGUGGGGGAUAACUAUCCGAAAGGAUAGCUAAUACCGCAUACGAUCUGUGGAUGAAAGCAGGGGAUCUUCGGACCUUGUGCUAUUGGAAUGGCCGAUAUCUGAUUAGCUAGUUGGUAGGGUAAAAGCCUACCAAGGCGACGAUCAGUAGCUGGUCUGAGAGGACGACCAGCCACACUGGAACUGAGACACGGUCCAGACUCCUACGGGAGGCAGCAGUGGGGAAUUUUGGACAAUGGGGGCAACCCUGAUCCAGCAAUGCCGCGUGAGUGAAGAAGGCCCUCGGGUUGUAAAGCUCUUUUGUCAGGGAAGAAACGGAGUUCUCUAAUAUAGGAUUCUAAUGACGGUACCUGAAGAAUAAGCACCGGCUAACUACGUGCCAGCAGCCGCGGUAAUACGUAGGGUGCAAGCGUUAAUCGGAAUUACUGGGCGUAAAGCGUGCGCAGGCGGUUUUGUAAGUCUGAUGUGAAAUCCCCGGGCUCAACCUGGGAACUGCAUUGGAGACUGCAAGGCUAGAGUGUGUCAGAGGGGGGUAGAAUUCCACGUGUAGCAGUGAAAUGCGUAGAGAUGUGGAGGAAUACCGAUGGCGAAGGCAGCC
rnacentral:rRNA from 1 species